rnacentral:snRNA from 1 species
AAUUUCCAUAGCUCUUUUAGAACUUUUUAAAACAGGAUUUCUGACCUUGGUUAGAAAUCCCAA